CUGUGUUUAAUACGCAUGCGUUGGCCUGAACGGGUCCCUCAUCUCUCUCUGCUUUAUUCAUCCGGAGUUUUCUUACAGGAUAUUGUGUGUACCAUGUGACCCCCGGGCUGAGAGACUGUGAUGGAAAGGGAUCGCUACAUGAGCCCCAUGGAGGCGCAGGACUUUGGUCUUAUCGACCGGGUCCUGGUCCAUCCCCCUCAGGCAGGCCAGGAUGAGCCUGAGCUGGUGCAGAAAGAACCACCAGCAGCAGCAGCAGCCAGUCCCUCUCCACAGCCGGAGUCUCCAGCUGCUGAGCAGGUUUCCCCUGGGACAAAUCCCCCCUCCUCAUACAAACCUGAGCCAUGAGCCCACCACAGAGCUGCCACGAGUUGAUACCUGGCAGUUCCUGAGAACAAGGCCAAGUUGUGUUUGUCUUGUCUGAAGUGGCUUCUUUCUUCCCCUUAACCAACGCUGUGCGAUCUCCAUAUGUGAUUGUCUGUCUUUUGUCUGUGUGUCAGCCCUGUGGUGGUUUUUGUUGAAUCAGACAGAAUAUAAUUUCAAGUCUGGAGACACACUGGUCUGCUUUGCAAAGUUGUGUCUUCACUACAGAAGCAACAGCGCCCUCUGCUGUUGAAAAGGAGAGGAAGAAAAUACUUAGAACACCUGGUGCUUUCACACUUUCUGUCAUCCGAGCACUGACCAAGUCUCACCCGUGCUUAGCUUUUAAGAUGAGACAUGUUCAAGCAUUCAGAGGAUUACAGACAAUACAGGCAUGGGUGCUACAAACAAACUGUUGAAAAUCAUCAUUAGACUUUUAUUUGCCAUUAUACAUUCAUCUGCCGCUGCAGCUGGAGAAGAAGUGUCUUUCCUAUAACAUGUUCCUCCGAGAUUUAAAAUUUAAUCAUUGGAUACAAUGUUCAGGGUGCUAACCAUUACACCAUGGAACCACUUCAAAGCUCUAGAUUUUCCUGCAUAGAAAGUCAUUUUAUCAUUCUAACUUUAAACAGGCUGACAAUGUAGAAGCUUAAGGUGCCACUGCUCCCAAAAUGUUUUCAGAGGUGGGACUUGAGUCCACACCACCAGGGCAAACUGCAAUAUGAAUACAGAACUUUAGACCACUCAGCCAUCCUAACUCCUUUAACAGCUUCUGUCCUAAUACAAAUCACUUAGUAAAUAAAGCCUUACGUACCACCAUGUGCACUGGGAAUAAAAAAAAAUGGAACAGAUCCCUACAUGAUAUUACCAUGUGUGUUAUACAGCCAGUGAAGCAGUGGUUACCUUUGUGGUGGGAGUCAAACAGGACACUCAGAUUUGGAGCGUGUUUGAGUGAUUACUCAAGUGAAUUUCCAACUCUUAAGACGUACAAAUGACAUACUCUCAAUUUAAAUUGAAAUUUACAGGCUCCAGAUUUUGAAUGCCUUCACUGUCUCCAAAUUUGGGCUAGCCACUGGCUAGCUGGUGUCUCAUUCAUUUCCAAGAAAAGCAGUCAGACGUUAACAGUAAACCUUACUGUUGCAAAACAACUUACUGAGUAAGAAUCUUCAGUGUGCAGAUGAGAAGAACUCAUCAGUAAGGUUUAGCUUACACAAAUGAAGAAACUGCUCCUUUAUGAAGAUUUAUCCAUUGCAGAGAAGUUGUAUUGUCUCUUUAAUUAGUCCUUAAGAUCAGCUUCCACUGAGAUGUGAACUCAGCUCAUUGCUCAUUGAGUCCAGCACACUAAUCAUUACACCACAGGACCACAUGCAGUGUC